GCGGAAGUAGUUCAGUGGUAGAAUACAACCUUGCCAAGGUUGGGGUCGCGAGUUCGAGCCUCGUCUUCCGCU
rnacentral:tRNA from 1 species